rnacentral:rRNA from 1 species
GAUGAACGCUAGCUACAGGCUUAACACAUGCAAGUCGAGGGGUAACAAGAGGAAAGCUUGCUUUCCUUGUUGACGACCGGCGCACGGGUGAGUAACGCGUAUCAAACCUGCCUAUAACUAGGGAAUAACCUUGCGAAAGUAGGACUAAUACCCUAUGAUUUCCUUUGAUGACAUCAGAUUAGGAAUAAAGAUUUAUCGGUUAUAGAUGGGGAUGCGUCUGAUUAGCUUGUUGGCGGGGUAACGGCCCACCAAGGCAACGAUCAGUAGGGGUUCUGAGAGGAAGGUCCCCCACAUUGGAACAGAGACACGGGCCAAACUCCUACGGGAGGCAGCAGUGAGGAAUAUUGGUCAAUGGGCGGAAGCCUGAACCAGCCAAGUAGCGUGCAGGAUGACGGCCCUAUGGGUUGUAAACUGCUUUUAUACAGGAAUAAAGUUAGCCACGUGUGGUUAUUUGUAGGUACUGUAUGAAUAAGGACCGGCUAAUUCCGUGCCAGCCGCCGCGGUAA